rnacentral:rRNA from 1 species
GAUGAACGCUGGCGGCGUGCUUAACACAUGCCAGUCGAACGAGAAGUGAAGACGGAAACCUUCGGGCGGAAGGCUUUAUUUCGAGUGGCGGACGGGUGAGUAACGCGUGGGUAACCUGCCUCAUACAGGGGGAUAACAGUUGGAAACGACUGUUAAUACCGCAUAAGACCACAGCACCGCAUGGUGCGGGGGUAAAAACUCCGGUGGUAUGAGAUGGACCCGCGUUCGAUUAGCCAGUUGGCGGGGUAACGGCCCACCAAAGCGACGAUCGAUAGCCGAUCUGAGAGGAUGACCGGCCACAUUGGGACUGAGACACGGCCCAAACUCCUACGGGAGGCAGCAGUGGGGAAUAUUGCACAAUGGGGGAAACCCUGAUGCAGCGACGCCGCGUGAGUGAAGAAGUAUUUCGGUAUGUAAAGCUCUAUCAGCAGGGAAGAAAAUGACGGUACCUGAGUAAGAAGCCCCGGCUAACUACGUG